UACGGUGCAUGUUGGCUGUAGUAGGUUCAUUGUAGGAAUAGGGUAUGCACUUAUAUGGAAUCUAUCUCCUUUGAUAGAUAGGGGCGUUAGUCAUAUAUGAUUUAUGAGACUGAGUUUAGAAGACCUUGGCAAGGGCAGAGUUAAUUCCGAAAAAGAGUUUUUGAUAUUAGAAACUCGAGUCGAAUAAAUUUGAUAUAUGACAGAUGAUGGGGUUUGACGAGUUAUUAUAUUACCUUUGUCUAGUCGGGACUCAUGAUAGAAGGACUGUAUCACACGGUAACUGCACCCAGAGGUUCAGUAUUUCAUUCUACUAGAAUGCCACUAUAUGUUGCUAGGUGUCACUGGUGGAUAGUAAGGCUCAUGAGAAUUAUCUAGAUGAUCGAUAAUUCUCAUUGGGCUGAAUUGGAAUUGUUCUGAUCCACUAAAAGGAGUUCCAGUGAUAUUGUUGAUAGUGAUCAAAAUAUAUAUCACUACCAGAUAGAAUAGAACCUAUGGGGUCACACAUAUAAGAGGUUGUGACUGAUCGGAUAGCUAGAUCACGAUUUUUAAAUUACCGGAGGAGCUAAUUAUCAAUAUGUUGAUAAUUGGACUAAUUUGUAAUUGUUACAAAUUAGUGGUAUUUGUUACAACCUGAUCUAUCUCACAGAUCCGAUAAUGAGAAGGAUAUGAGGAUCGGUGAGAUAGAGAUGAUAGAAACUCGAUUAAGAACAAGGAAGAUCAGAGAAAGGUUAGAGGAGAGGGAGGGAGAGAGUGGAGAGGAGAAGAGAAGAGAAGAAGAUAGAAGAUUGAGGAAGAAGAAGACAAUUCAAAUCAUUCAUAAUCCCCUUACACUUGACUCCUCAAGCUAUUUAUAACUACUACAUAAGGACUAAUCUGUAAUUCCCAUAUAAGCUGAAUACUAAUAAGAAAAUAUAAUUGCUCGGAUGGGCUAUCUGGGCUUCAAUCUGCAAGGGCCUGGACCGUAUGCCGCACCUCUGGACUUCGAGUGGACGGCCCACUAAGCAACCGUCAAGAAUGGAAGGCUUAGUGGGUUACCCUCUUUGUCGGAUGGUGCCCAGAUGGAAUCCCGACAACCCGACCCGCUAACUCUCAACUAUUACCACUUCGGCUUAUUCGCUGGAUCCCAUAUCUCCUUCGUUCUCUCCUUUUGACUUUUCUUCACCUGCCCUAAUCCCUCAGCUCCCUCGUGACCAUUACACCCCCUUCCCCUUCGGACGAUUCUUGUCCUUAAGAAUCGAAGGUGGGAAAUUGCGAUUUGAGAAACCAGUAAUCUUCCCAAGUCGUUUGAUCCUUCGGCAAGUUGCUCCAUCGGAUCAGCACCUGGGUAACCGCCUUCCCGCCGCGCUGUACCAUCCUCCUAUCAAGGAUCUCUGCUGGUUCUGCUAGCAGUUGGCCGUUGUCUUCGGUAAGAGGUACUGUGGCAGACGCGGUUCUCCCUUCUGGUGGGCUCCUUUUCAAUAAUGAGACAUGGAAGACGGGGUGCACCUUCGACCCCUCCGGCAAGCGUAGCCGGUAGGCCACUGGUCCGAUCCUUUCUAGGAUUUCGAAAGGCCCAAAGUAUCGGGACGAUAGCUUGAGGUCCCGUCGCACGGCCACAAUGUUUUGACGGUAGGGUUGUAAUUUUAGGUAUACCUGAUCACCAACCGUAAACUCCCGAUCCACCCUUCGCCGGUCUGCGAAUUGUUUCAUACGGUUCUGAGCCUUCUGGAGACGGUCCUUUAGUUCUCUGUUCAUCAUUUCUCUUUCUUUGACCCAAUCUGUCGCUUCCCCCUCUGUUCCUUGUUGUAAUCUAGUUAACAUAUAACUCGGUGGUGGUCUCCCAUACAGGGCCUGGAAGGGGGUCAUUCCCAGUGAGCUGUGAUAGUUCGAGUUGUACCACCAUUCUGCGUGUGUGAUCCAUUUAUGCCAUGCCUGAGGAUGCUGGAAACACAUGCAUCUUAGAUAUGUUUCCAGACAUCUGUUAAGCCGCUCCGUCUGCCCAUCUGUUUGUGGGUGGUAGGCGGAGCUCAUGAGCAGCUUAGUUCCCAUGGUUUUGAACAACUCUUGCCAGAACUCACUGGUGAAGAUCCUAUCUCUGUCGGAUAUGAUCUUCGCUGGUAAUCCAUGUAGGCGAUAGACCGUGUGGAAAAAAGCCUUGGCUACCUCCGAAGCAGUAUAAGGAUGCGUGAGGGAAAUAAAAUGUGCAUACUUAGUGAAGCGAUCUAUUACCACCAUUAUCGAAUCCUUCCCCUCUGAUCUCGGUAGCCCUUCUAUGAAGUCUAAACUUACCUCAUUCCAAGCUUGCUCAAGCACAGGUAAUGGCUGUAAUAAUCCGGCAUAGGGCUGAUUGUCGGACUUAUUCUGUAUGCACACUGUACAAUUCUUUACUAUCUCUUCGACAUCUUUCUUGAGUCCCGGCCAAAAGAAUACUUGCUUAAUCCUUCGAUAGGUAUGCUGCUGUCCCGAGUGGCCUCCUAAGGCAGAGGCAUGCAUCUGCUGAAGUACCUUCUGCCUGACCCCUUCCCCUGAUCCAAUGUAUAGCCUUCCUUUAUAGCGUAGCAAUUUUUGGUUAUAAGAGCAAUUCUCUUGAGAUUCAGGUUGCAACGUCAACUGAGCUAUCAAUCUCUGACAGUCUGCAUCUUCACAAUAACUCUUAAUUACCUCAACAAUCCAAGUUGGGGUAACUACUGAAAUGGCUUGGUUGCUCCUUUCUUCCAACCCCCUACGUGACAGGGCAUCCGCCACCUUAUUCUCCCUCCCUUUCUUGUAUUGAAUCACGUAGUUUAGCCCCAUCAACUUAAACAUUCCUUUUUGUUGUAUGGCUGUGCUUACCCGUUGUUCCAUUAAGUGUUUUAGACUCUCAUGGUCUGUUUUGAUGAUGAACUGAUUCAUACUCAAAUAGUGUCGCCACUUCGAUACAGCCAUCAAUAUGGCUAGAAACUCCUUCUCGUACGUCAACAGCCCAAGAUUCUUCUUGCUGAUGGCUUUGCUCAAGUAAGCUAUCGGCCGAUCAUCUUGCAUUAAGACUGCACCUACUCCUUGAUCACAUGCAUCUGCCUCCACUACAAAUGGCUUGGAGUAGUUUGGCAGGGCCAGUAUAGGCGUUUCUGUCAUCAGCCUUUUCAACCUUUCGAAGGCUUCUUGCGCCUCCGCUGUCCAAUGGAAGUUAUUCUUCUUCAAGAGGCCAGUGUGGGGUUUACUUAUAGCUCCAUAUCCUUUGACGAAUUUGCGGUAGUAUCCGGUGAGCCCCAAGAAUCCCCUCAAUCCCUUAAUGGACACUGGGGUAGGCCAUUGCUCCAUGGCAGCUACUUUGCUCGGGUCCGUAGCCACUCCUUGCUGGGUGAUGAUGUGGCCAAGAUACUCGACCUUCUCUUGCCCAAAAUAACAUUUCGAUCUCUUUGCAAAUAGUUGGUUCUUUUUAAGUAGGCUUAACACUUCCCUCAGGUGGAUUGCGUGGUCCUCGAGUGUCCUGCUGUAGAUCAAUAUAUCGUCGAAAAAUACUAAAACGUAGUGCCGGAGUAUAGGGGCGAAUACUUCAUUCAUCACGGAUUGGAACGUGGCUGGGCGUUGGUGAGCCCAAAGGGCAUUACUCUGAACUCGUAGUGCCCCAAGUGUGUUCGGAAUGCCGUCUUAGGAAUGUCGCUCGGAUUCAUCCUUAUCUGGUGAUAGCUUGAUCGUAGAUCUAUCUUAGAAAAAUACCUCGAUCCGCCCAAUUCAUCUAGCAGAUCUUCAAUAAUGGGUAUCGGGUAUUUAUCCUUGAUCAUAAGCUUAUUUAAUUGUCGGUAGUCCACGCAGAACCUCCAAGUUCCAUCCUUCUUUUUCACGAGAAGUACCGGUGAAGCGUAAGGGCUAUUGCUCGGCUGAAUCACUUUGUUGAUCAACAUUUCCUUAAUCAGCUUCUCUAUUUCAUUCUUUUGCUCCCAUGUAUAGCGAUAGGGUCGGAUAUUAACGGGAUGUGCACCGCUUUGCAAUGAAAUUUUGUGGUCUUGUGGCCGCAAGGGGGGCAACUCCUUGGGUUCUUAGAAGAUCACCUCGAAUUACAACAACACCUUUUCUACUUCAAGGGGUAUAGACUCCUGCUCCUCUUCCUUCAGGCUGAUCAGCCGAGCUACCGCGCAGCAGUGUCCUUCAAGGUACUCCUGAUGCCACUGUCUUGCAGUCAUCUCCUGGAGUUUGGCCUUCUCAGUCAUUCCCUUUAACUCCACCCUUUUUCCUCCCUUAGAGAUAGCAACAGUGUUUUGCGCAUAAUCAAAGGUGACUGGUCCGUGCUUCCUUAACCAAUCAAUUCCUAGUAUCAUGCUAGACCCCUCCAAUCUGAUUACUCUCAGUUCAGCUGUGUAUUCUUCUCCUUGCAUUCUCCAAGAGAAACUUGGGCAUUUCAACUUACUCAUCACUUGCUGACCAUUGGCAACGGUCACUAGCAGGGGUGUGGUGGUGUUAAUAACUGCUCGAAUCUCUUUGGCAGUUGCUAUAUCAAUAAAGUUGUGGGUGCUCCCUGUAUCCACUAAGAUAGAUAGGACUUUCUCAGCUGCUUCUCCUUGAAUUUUAAUCGUAUCUUGUGGGUUCUCGGCACUCAAGGCAUGAAUUGACAGCCCAAUCUCUUCUCUAUCCUCAUCCACCUCUAAUUCCUCUUGCUCUGCUAGUUCUCGGAGGCUGACUUCAUCAUAAACUUCAGUUACUUCUGGGGUAGCCGUCACGGUGUUGAUGCUUUGAGUCUUGCAUUGAUGUCCUGGUGAGUACUUAUCUCCGCACUUAAAGCACAACCCUGCUGCCCUUCUUUGUUCUAUAAGUUGCCUAUUCGGAAAUGCCCUCUCAGUGUUGAAUUUGUUGGCAUAGUUCUUGGGAGCUUCACUAGCUCUGUUGGUUGUAACUGAACUGUUGCCCUUGUAACUACUGGUUGUGGUGCUUCCUUGGCUCCUCAGUAGCAUCCUGCUCUUCCUCAUCAUAGCUGAUAUACUCUGCUCUUGUAAUCGAGCUUGCUCGUAGGCUUGCUCCAAGGUGCUGGGCUUGAACAUCUUAACAGAGGCCUUAAUCUCUUCUUUGAGUCCAUUCAAGAAGCUGGAUAAGAAAUAAUCUGGGGCAAAUUGGGACUUAGUGGUCAAUAAUCUAGAUCUUAGCUCUUCGAACUGUUCUUCGUAUUCCUCCACAGUUCCAUGUUGCACCAACUUAUUAAAUUCUUCUACUACAUCUCUCAACCCAUUGGAAUCAAAACGUUUACACAGGUCGAGGGCGAAGGUGUCCCAACUUACUUCUCCCUUCUCGGCCAAAUAACCAUGGAACCAAAUGUCUGCUCGUGGCUCCAAAUACAUGGUGGCUAUUUCUAAUCUAUGUGACUCCGUAAUCCCAUGAAUCUCAAAAUACUUUUCACAACGUCUGAUCUAGUUUCGAGGGUUAUCUCCACUAAAAUUGGGAAAAUCUAAUCGAGGUGUGGGUAAUGAAUUGUGGUUCUUAGUAUAGAAUUGAAUUGCAGAGCUAUCAUCUCUAAGUAAAGGAAUCGGUGGUGUGGGCAGUAUACCUCGAUCUUCUUGUGUGAUUGUGGUGGUCAUUCCCUUGGUUGUAGAGCUCUGUUGCUGGUUGGUGAGCAGAUCCAUGAGUUGUUCCCAUCUCUUGGUUGAAUUAGCGGCCUCCCUCCGCAGGAAUUCAUAGUGGCUCUGCUCCUCGGCUUGCAUAGCCCUAAUUCCUUGAUGCAGCUCCUCGAAUCUCCGAUCAUUCCCCGUUGCCAUCUCCUGUAACUUCUGCUCUAAGGCGUGAACGUGCUCAUCAAGCAAUUUGAGUCUGGUGCCCUCCGCCGUGGAUGCCUUACUGAUACAUUUGAAGCGAUUGCCUCGGUUGGACCCAAUGAUUCCCCAGUCGACGACCUUGAUCGGUGCGUACCUCCCUUCUCUCCUCGCCUAUGAUGUUCGCUGAGGCAAUGGUAUCUCUCCUUUCCCUCCUUGGUAGCCAACCCUUGUAUCCUAGAUUCAACAACCGUAGUUGGAAUCCGAGAUGUGGGUUGAUCGUUCCUGUGUAAUUUCUCGGAUCUCUCGAUCCUGGUAUUACUUGGAACUACUACCUUCCCUGGGACCGAUGCUGCUCUGAUACCAAGUUGUUACAACCUGAUCUAUCUCACAGAUCCGAUAAUGAGAAGGAUCUGAGGAUCGGUGAGAUAGAGAUGAUGGAAACUCGAUUAAGAACAAGGAAGAUCAGAGAAAGGUUAGAGGAGAGGGAGGGAGAGAGUGGAGAGGAGAAGAGAAGAGAAGAAGAUAGAAGACUGAGGAAGAAGAAGACAAUUCAAAUCAUUCAUAAUCCCCUUACACUUGACUCCUCAAGCUAUUUAUAACUACUACAUAAGGACUAAUCUGUAAUUCCCAUAUAAGCUGAAUACU
rnacentral:lncRNA from 1 species